rnacentral:rRNA from 1 species
AGCGAACGUUUGCGGCGGGCCUAACACAUGCAAGUCGAACGCACUAGCAAUAGUGAGUGGCGCACGGGUGCGUAACACGUGGGUAAUCAACCCUUCAGCUUGGGAUAACGACUUGAAAGGGUCGCUAAUACCGGAUACGGCGCGGGAGGCUUCGGCUUCUCACGAGAAAGCCUCGCAAGGGGCACUGAAGGACGAGCCUGCGGCCCAUCAGCUAGUUGGUGAGGUAAGAGCUCACCAAGGCGAAGACGGGUAGCUGGUCUGAGAGGAUGAUCAGCCACACUGGAACUGAGACACGGUCCAGACUCCUACGGGAGGCAGCAGUGGGGAAUAUUGCGCAAUGGGCGAAAGCCUGACGCAGCCACGCCGCGUGAGCGAUGAAGGCCUUCGGUCGUAAGACUCUGUGGGGAGGAGACGAAGAAAGACCCGUGAAGAGCGGGCCGUUGACGGGUAUCUCCUUAGCAAGCACCGGCUAACUCCGUGCCAGCAGCCGCGGUAAU